UUCACACAAAAUCUAAAAGGGGGAUAAAAGGAAGCCUGAAACAUGUCUAUAAAAAAAAGAAAAAGAAACCGUUCACCUAAACUACAACCCAAAUCCCAAACUUACUUUACUUUAUCACCACAGAAAACAGUGCUCCUGGCGGCUGACCAACCAGGAGAUAUCCCUCCCUCCGAGAACACCUCUCGCCAUGACGUCUACUUAUCCCUGACGUCCCAGAUUUGACCCUUAACUUACCACAUUUUAUCCCAUGGCCACCACCUUUUUAAUAGGGCUUUAAGCCGAAAACAUAUUUAUCUUUUCUAUAAAAAAUUUGUACAUUUUAUUCAGCCAAUUUUGCUCUUCAAAGAUAUGAACAAUUCAACAAGGCUUUUAUAUGUUAUAAAAAAAACAUAAUGACAAAAAAAUCGAAGAUAUAAAUUUACAGCGCCAAAAUUAUUUUAAAAUAUCAUAUUUGCUCCUUUCUCCUUUCAGGUUGCGAUGGCGGUCGACAAAAAGUAUGGAACAGUAAAGGCUGCUAAUGUUUGAGGUUCUUCCCAAUUGGGAAGGACAAACAAAGGAGUGGUGUCGACAACCAAAAAAAUCGACGAGCGAAAUAAAAUGCCUGGUUACCUAACCUUGAAUAGAGCUCUUUUCAACGUCGUGAACCUGCACCUCAAUCAAAAUGAAAACGGCGGAAUUUAAUUAUUUAGCUUCGUCGUCCGUCUGUCUGUCCGGAGUUCAGUGUGACAAAUGUCGAUUGGGAAUGAUACCAGGCCACGCUGGAGCAGCAAUGGCGUAAAAUCUGCGCCUCCCUCGAUGGAUUGGACGGGCGAUGGUGUGGCUCGUUGACUCCAGUUUCCUGGUCUGGAUAUUUAGGUUUAAGAUUUAUUUUUUUUAGUUUUAGAAUUUCAAUUGUUUUGUUUUCAAAUUUGUUUAAUUGUUUCCAAACUUUGUUCAAUUUUUUUCCAAAUUUUGUUUAAAUUUUAAAAUAAGUUUAAU